rnacentral:rRNA from 1 species
ACGAACGCUGGCGGCGUGCUUAACACCUGCCAGUCGAACGGAAAGGCCCUGCUUUUGUGGGGUGCUCGAGUGGCGAACGGGUGAGUAACACGUGAGUAACCUGCCCUUGACUUUGGGAUAACUUCAGGAAACUGGGGCUAAUACCGGAUAGGAGCUCCUGCUGCAUGGUGGGGGUUGGAAAGUUUCGGCGGUUGGGGAUGGACUCGCGGCUUAUCAGCUUGUUGGUGGGGUAGUGGCUUACCAAGGCUUUGACGGGUAGCCGGCCUGAGAGGGUGACCGGCCACAUUGGGACUGAGAGACGGCCCAGACGCCUACGGGAGGCAGCAGUGGGGAAUAUUGCACAAUGGGCGGAAGCCUGAUGCAGCAACGCCGCGUGCGGGAUGACGGCCUUCGGGUUGUAAACCGCUUUCGCCUGUGACGAAGCGUGAGUGACGGUAAUGGGUAAAGAAGCACCGGCUAACUACGUG